UUGGAGCAACAGAAACAAGGAAACUGAGGUUGUAUUUGACGAACGUUUUAUUUAAAAGUAUGGAUUUGAGCAAACAAAGAAAGGGACACAACUACAGAGGUUAAACAUUGGUACAGGAUAUCCUUUGCCUAUCGGCUGAAGACGGUGUCAAGGAAGACCUCACUUCGACCCAUCAAGAAGAGUAUUUCACCCCAGUCGGGAGGCCCAACCCAUAGGAGGAAGACUGUCCUGGACCACCAGCUUGUUGGUGAUGCUUGCAAGGAGGCUAUUUAUAAAAAUAUAUAUAUUUUUCACCUUUAUUUAACCAGUCAUGCUGCAGCAUUGAAGACCAUCUUGAUGGGAGCCAUGGUCGACAGCCAUACCUCCUUGCCGUUGGAAGAAGACAGAGCAAGAUUGACAACUACUACAUCAUGGUGGACAAGAGGCUUGUUUCCUGCCAGGCAACUUUUUAUUUAACCA